rnacentral:rRNA from 1 species
CCUACGGGCGGCAGCAGUAGGGAAUAUUGCUCAAUGGGGGAAACCCUGAAGCAGCAACGCCGCGUGGAGGAUGAAGGUUUUCGGAUUGUAAACUCCUUUUGUUAGAGAAGAUAAUGACGGUAUCUAACGAAUAAGCACCGGCUAACUCCGUGCCAGCAGCCGCGGUAAUACGGAGGGUGCAAGCGUUACUCGGAAUCACUGGGCGGAAAGAGCGCGUAGGCGGGAUAGCAAGUCAGAUGUGAAAUCCUAUGGCUUAACCAUAGAACUGCAUUUGAAACUGUUAUUCUAGAGUAUGGGAGAGGUAGGUGGAAUUCGUGGUGUAGGGGUGAAAUCCGUAGAGAUCAAGAAGAAUACUCAUUGCGAAGGCGACCUGCUAGAACAUAACUGACGCUGAUGCGCGAAAGCGUGGGGAGCAAACAGGAUUAGAUACCCUAGUAGUC